rnacentral:misc_RNA from 1 species
AAAAACUGGGCCAAAUGUCUUGAGCCUGUUCUCUACAACUUAGCUCCCCAAGGAGAUGCAAUCAGCCAAGAAGCAGACAUAUUAACCAUACAACAUGCACUCUUAAUAGUUAUGUCAAAUGACACUACUGUAAAAAUUAUAGAACAUUUCACAAACGGCUCUCCUUGUCAGAUAAAAAAUAUGGUAUCCCACCAGCUUGAGAUCGAUGUAGGCAUUAAGUUCCCAUAGCAUCAUCUUCGCUUGAACUGUAUACCCUGUCAGUCUGUACUUGCAAUGGCUGCUUAAGGUCAGAUGAUUCACACUCAUGCAAGGGCUGGCUUUCUGAUGAGGGACAAUACUGGGGAACAGAAAACGAAAACCUGCUGGUUGUCUGCUUCUUAGAUGCUGAAGAUUCAGCAGUAGAGCAUAAGUCUUCAUCUGUUCUAGAGGUGCCUUCUAUGCCAUUAACUUUAUGCAGUUUAUCUCGAUGUGGUCUUUCCUCUUCCACAUACUUUGAUCUCUUCUUAUGAGCUGGACUGUUCUUGGGAUUUUGAAUUGUUGGUACCUUCUGAUCAUUAGAUGAAAUGGUGGGACAAGGAGCCUUUUCUUUUAACAUAGCCUUUGGAAUGGCCAAAUUUUCAUUACCAUCAGUGUUAUCAACAACAACUUCACUUGUUCCACCUGAAAUUGAAGCCCUUGCAGCUGCUUCCAUUUCCCACAUCUUGAAUAUGGCUUCAGUCAGACGUUCUCUGGCUAAAUCUAAUUCAAUUAUAGGUUUUGGGUAGUUUUGUCCCAAUUCCACCCCUGCAGCUUUAAGCACAGUAAGAGGUGCGUCCCAAGGAUGAUGGAUCCAUUCAGUUGGCAUUCUGGCAAGCUCAGGCAGCCAGUGUCUCACAUAUUCACCCUCUGGGUCAAAUUUUGAGCCUUGAAUCUCUGGACUAUCCAAACGUUCAAGCUCAUGGCCAUCAGGUAAGCUUCCAGAUAUGUACUGCCAACCAAGGAUGUCACUUUCCAAGUCUGCAUCCAAAAGUGUGUCCCAAAAAUACUUCAUCCCCCAUCUCCAUGGAAGAAGCAAAACUUUAACAGAAAACUUUGCAAAAUCAAUCUAAUUUCAUUUUGUAUUCAAACAGGUUGCCACAAC